rnacentral:rRNA from 1 species
UACGUAGGGUGCGAGCGUUAAUCGGAAUUACUGGGCGUAAAGCGCACGUAGGCGGACUCUUAAGUCGGGGGGGAAAUCCUGGAGCUCAACUCCAGAACUGCCUUUGAUACUGAGGAUCUCGAGUCCGGGAGAGGUGAGUGGAACUCCGAGUGUAGAGGUGAAAUUCGUAGAUAUUCGGAAGAACACCAGUGGCGAAGGCGGCUCACUGGCCCGGUACUGACGCUGAGGUGCGAAAGCGUGGGGAGCAAACAGG